ACGGCCGUUGUGGACGAGGGAGCCGCCAUCGGUACGGUCGUACUGACCGUGGCGGCGGCGGAUGGAGACAGCGGGGCGGCACGACCUGUCGUCUUCGAGAUGGUGGAAAACCCUGGCGAGUUUUUCUCGCUGGACGAGGAGACGGGCGUGCUGAGCACGGCCAAAAAACUGGACCGAGAGUCGGAUCUGGUGCGCGGCGGCGCCAUUCAUCUCACAGUCAAGGCUGUUGAGGUGGAGUCGGGCCGCCGACUG